GCUUUUGUUUUUUGCAGGGCUAUUCAGGUUCCCAGUUUCUUAUUUCCAUCUUCCUUUUCAGGAUUCAGUUCCAAAUCCUUAAAGUAGUGUAGGUGCCUAGUAUCUUUCAUGAAUUUUUCAGGAUCCAGUUCUGCCCAAUGAUAAUGCACUAAAAAAAACAAAGACAAGACACAUUACUCAGAAGAGUCCCAAAGUCUGGCCUUCAAAUCCUAUUAACAUAUGUGACCAUGCAUGACAAAAUAGCUGGAGAUAUCCUUUCCAGUUCACACAAAGACAAGAGAAUGAGAGUGUUUCAUUUUACUGUGAAAAAUCUGCUGUGUUGUCAUAUAUAAAUCCAAAUACCUUCUCACCAAAGAGACACCAAUUUAUGAGAACUUCACUUUUAGAGCUCAAAAAGACACAACCAAAUAUCUGGGAAUUAAAUAACACACUUCUAAAUGGCCUCUGCAUCAAAGAGAAGGCACAUGGCAAAUUAGAAAAUAUUUUAAAGAGAAUGAAAAUACAAACAUCAAAAUUUGUGACAUUCACCAACGGCAGUGCUUGGAGAGAAAUUCAUGGCAUUAAAUGCUUACGUUAGAAAAAGAAGAAAGCUUUCAAGUUAAUGAUCUAAGUUUCUGCCUUACGGAAUUAAAAGAAUAAAAGCAAAGUAAACCCAAAACAAGGAAUUCCUGUCAUGGCUCAAUGGUUAACAAAUUCAACUAGGAACCAUGAGGUUGCGAGUUCAAUCCCUGGCCUUGCUCAGUGGGUUAAGGAUCCGGCGUUGCCAUGAGCUAUGGUGUAGGUCGCAGAUGCUGUUUGGAUCCUGCGUUGCUGUGGCUGUGGUGUAGGCUGGUGGCUACAGCUCUGAUUAGACCCCUAGCCUGGGAACCUCCAUAUGCCACAGGAGUGGCUCUAGAAAAGGCAAAAAGACAAAAAAAUAAAAAUGAAAAAUUUUUAAAAAUUAAAAAAAAGGAGUUCCCGUCGUGGCGCAGUGGUUAACGAAUCCGACUAGGAACCAUGAGGAUGCAGGUUCCAUCCCUGGCCUCAGUGGAUCAGGGAUUUGGUGUUGCCGUUAGCGGUGGUGCAGGUUGCAGAUGCAGCUUGGAUCUUGCGUUGCUGUGACUGUGGUGUAGCCCAGCCGCCAUAGCUCUGAUUUGACCCGCAGCCUAACAACUUCCAUAUGCCACAGGUGCGGCCCUAAAAAGAAAAAAAAGAAAAAAGAAAGAGGAUGCAGGGCUGUUCUCCCAGGAUCAGAAGCAAGGAAAACUCAACAGCUGGUUUAAACACUGAGUCUCUGAAACAUGCUGACUUCCAGCUGAUCUGUUUCUGGCUUCAGGCCAUUAGAGCAACUGAAGAUAUAAGUCAGGGUACACACACCACAGACCUGCUUCCCAAACCACUGUCAAAAGAACCGAGUUUUACUUACUUAUUUCAUAUUAUGGUUGGGAAUCUAAUAUGAGCUCAUUUAAAGUCAAGAAAAAGCAGGAGUUCCCAUCGUGGUGCAGCGGAAACGAAUCCAACUAGGAACCAUAAGGUUGUGGGUUCGAUCCCUGGCCUU
rnacentral:lncRNA from 1 species